UGUGCCAGCCGCCGCGGUAAUUCCAGCUCCAAUAGCGUAUAUUAAAGUUGUUGCAGUUAAAAAGCUCGUAGUUGAACCUUGGGCCUGGCUGGCCGGUCCGCCUCACCGCGUGUACUGGUCCGGCCGGGCCUUUCCUUCUGGAGAGCCCCAUGCCCUUCACUGGGCGUGCGGGGGAACCAGGACUUUUACUUUGAAAAAAUUAGAGUGUCCAAAGCAGGCCUUUGCUCGAAUACGUUAGCAUGGAAUAAUAGAAUAGGACGUGCGGUCCUAUUUUGUUGGUUUCUAGGACCGCCGUAAUGAUUAAUAGGGAUAGUCGGGGGCAUCAGUAUUCAAUUGUCAGAGGUGAAAUUCUUGGAUUUAUUGAAGACUAACUACUGCGAAAGCAUUUGCCAAGGAUGUUUUCAUUAAUCAGUGAACGAAAGUUAGGGGAUCGAAGACGAUCAGAUACCGUCGUAGUCUUAACCGUAAACUAUGCCGACUAGGGAUCGGGCGAUGUUUCUAUCUUGACUCGCUCGGCACCUUACGAGAAAUCAAAGUUUUUGGGUUCUGGGGGGGAGUAUGGGUCGCAAGGCUGAAACUUAAAGAAAUUGACGGAAGGGCACCACCCAGGCGUGGAGCCUGCGGCUUAAUUUGACUCAACACGGGGAAACUCACCAGUCCAGAUGAAAUAAGGAUUGACAGAUUGAGAGCUCUUUCUUGAUUUUUCCAGUGGUGUUGCAUGGCCGUUCUUAGUUGGUGGGAGGUGAUUUGUCUGCUUAAUUGCGAUACGACGAGACUUACUGCUAAUAGCAGGCUAGCUUUGGCUGGGUCGUCGGCUUCUUAAAGGACUAUCCGCUCAGCCCCAAUGGAAGUUUGAUG
rnacentral:rRNA from 1 species